UCUCUAAGACAAGCAGCUGUAGCCAGCCCUGAUGGCCCAGCCCCAACGAUCACCGGACCAUUAACCCAGAUGCAACGUCGAGAGAAGAAGUCAUCAUGAUCGGCAAGACGAAACAAGUUCUCCAUCACUACUGAGGUAAAUUUUCUCCCACACAUGGAGAGGGUGAGUGCUAAAUCUAUAUGGAUAGAUGGUUCAAUUCUUUACCCUGCAAUUGUUCGACCAAAACAAACUUAGACAAGAGGGUGGGCAAUCUAAUCCGGAGUUAAAUCGGGUCGGGUCUGUAGUGACAGUAAAUGGAUCAGAUCAAGUGUGAGAGAGAGAGAAGAGAAUAAGGGAGGAAUGAAAGGGAGAGAUGGAGUUUUCAAAGGAAGUUGAAUCAGGUGAGCCCCCAGCAGAGAAAUUUAAUGGCAAUGAUGAAGAGAUAAAUGGGGGGAGGGGUUAUAAUGCUGACUGGGACAUGUAGAAAAGAUCCCACGUGGAGGGAGGAAGAGGAGGGCAUGGGGUGAGGGGGCCACACGUCAGCAUCUUUGGACCUCAAAAAAAACCAAGCUGCAAAGGGAAUUUGAAAUUUUGUUUGAGUUGAAAGGCUGUUUUGUUUUAUGGCUCACACCACCCAUCUUGCCAACUGGUCAACAAUCGCAAGAAUGAAGAUCAAGAUAUCAACUUUUGAAAAGAUGAGAUUGCCUUGGAGAUUAUGUAUUAACAACAACCUUGAGAAUGUAUUGGAGCAACAACAAUUGGUUAUGACGCACAGUCCCACAUCAAGUAAGUAAUUCUAAGAUAGGUUACUUUACAAAUUUAUAAUUAAGUCAAAGUUCAACAAUCUAAUAGACACAAAUCUCAACAAAAACAUAUAUUCAAGAGUUAAAAUAGAUAUUUUGAAAGUUGAGGAAGGGAACUUUUAUGCGAAAUUAGGGUUUGUUCUUGUUACCAGCAGUCACCCAACCAGCCUUGCAAUGCUCCCACACCCAGCUUGGAAUUUGAUGAACAAGCCUGCCCUAGCUUUCCACUUUUAGCAUGGGAAUAUACACUUUUCCACCCCCCUACCCAUUUUCUUUUUUCAAAUCCUAAAAAGGUUCCCUUUUCCUUAAAAAUUGAAUAAUUAAAUAAAUAAUUGUUCAUUUAGUAUUAUUAUUUUUUUAAAAAUGACCCUGAAAAGUUGUUCAUAUAUUUUAUUAAUACUUUCUAUGAAAAAAAAUUGAGUGUGAUAAUAAUUAAUUGUGAGUUUUCUCAGUCACGCGUAUAACAAAAAAGGUUUGAAGAAACCAAAAAAUCAUUGGUUUUUGUAUGCAACCUUACCAAUAAGCUGGCAUUUUUAUGUAAUUUUUUAAAAAUACUAUAUGCUUAUUAUAUAUAUGUAUAUAUAAAGGUAUAAUAGUGGACUGAUUUGUAAAGAUCAAUAGUGUUUGUUUAUAUAUAAUUACUAAUAAAUCAUGUAUGAGAACAUUAGUAUCUCGAGCAAAAUAAGAUGCUCAAACA